GAGUGAAGAGAGCUGUAAGAAAAAAGGCCACAAGUAAAAGGAGAAGCUGUUUCGUGAACCCGACUUGGUGUCCGUGUUGUUCCUGUCUCCGUUGGAGUGGAGAUGACCUGCGACAAGUGGUGGCCCGUACGGGGAACUCAUCAUGUCGGUCGGCAACGUUAAGGCUUUGAAUACUACAUUGGUGAGAAGAGAAGAGAAGAGAAGAGAAGAGAAGAGAAGAGAAGAGAAGAGAAGAGAAGAGAAGAGAAGAGACACUGCGCACAUUGUCUUAUUCCAGAGUGUGGAGGAGUGCUUUGUUUUCCCAUAGACAUACUAAAGCAUCCUUCGCUGGCUCCUCUACACAGACGCUCCUCUUUGUGACCCUAUUUUCUGGUUAAUAAGGCUGUCUUUUACUUGACUACACAAGCUCCAAGUGCAGGGUGUGCACUGUUAUUGGAAAGAAAUACCCAAAAUGAAUCCACAGUUGGUCCCAGGGCUGGGGAGAGAACUUGACUUCUGGAAGCCCAACUUUGUGUUCCUGUCCCUGAUUAGGAAAACCUUGUUUGGAGCUGAGACGAAGAUGUCCUCAUUGUGGAAGGAAGUGUCUACAAGCAGCCCAUUAAACACGAAGCCCUGCUGUUGAGUCUCGUGGAUGCCGUCAUGCAGGGAAGCCUUGUCUGGAGGUGUGCAAUGCCAGGAGAGCAACUCACCAAAGAAGUUCUUGUGAUAUGCUGGUGGUUUCCUGCUGCUUCUGUGGACGCGCAGAUCAUCGGAUCCUUGCAGUUUCUUUUGGAUCAAACUGCCACUGCUGAUUUGUGUUGGUGUUUUGCUAGAGGACUGGACUGCUGACAGUAGAGAUUGGAAUCACCCCAAAGAACUAUUUCUAAGCAGAUCCACAACCCCCAUUUCCUGUUAGCCUUUCUUUUCCACUACCUCUGGUGGGUGGUUUGCUAGAAGGGAGGUUGAAACAUUUAAGAACCUUUAUUAAGGUAGGUUUUUUAAAAAAUCUAAGACUAGAAGCCCUGAUUAAAUGUUUGCCUUUUUAAGAGGA
rnacentral:lncRNA from 1 species